UCGUGCCAAAACUCAUACUCGGUGAUACCUUGCGCAGGGUAUCCAACCGAGUCUGCCAAGGCUGUUAAAAUUUCGUAUACACUUAAAAUAUAUUUUUAGUUUGAGAAAAUACAGUCGUUCCUUGGCGUUGGCUGAGUUCCCCUUCACGUGGUGGUUUGGCGUGAAGUGAAUCCUAAGCUUUACCCCAAGAGAUACCCUACGCGCCUCUCCGUUUGAGGUAAUAAUAUAAUGGAGUUUAUCGUGCCCCUCUAAUAGGCUGGUCCACGGAACCCCCUCUGCAGUAAAUAAUUAAUAUAUAAUCCACCAAUCAAUAAAAUUCAUUCUAGCAUGACAUGGCAAUUUAUCGCAACCUAGCCUCUGAAGGCUGAAUACAUAGUAUAAAUAAUUCUAACACCAAAAUCAGUUUAGCCAUUCAUGCUCAUUUAUUGUCAUAAGCCAUUCAAUUCAAAACCAUAAAUUUGCAACACAAGCAGACAAUCUCCAAUUACUCUAUUUUCAAAACCAAUAUUCGAUUUUCAGAAAAUUUAUAAAAUCAUUUUAUAAAAUCACAAUUUCUCUUAAAACAUAGCAAUUUACCAUUUAAACCCAUUUUCCAUAAAAUCACACAGUUGUAUAAAACUACUCUAGAUAAUUAAGACGAUAAUAAGUUCACUCACCGUUCUAGGAGUCGAUGUACUCCUAAUCCCAGUCUCCAAGCACAAUCUUUGUACUUUUACCAGUGUACUUUGUUCACC
rnacentral:lncRNA from 1 species